AGGAUUUGACAAAUUUGAAUACUUUUUUUGAAGGUUUUUUAUACAUUAAUAUAUGUACAUUUCUACAUGAUUAACCCUUUCCUGAAGUGGAUCAGUAGACUAAAAAAACUUUUGUGUUCUCUCAGCAAUUGCUAGUAAAUUUCACGCUUAAUUAAAUUACAGAACAUAACUUUAACACAGAAUAUAUUGAACAUAAUUCCGGAAAUUGUAAUGCAUACUUCAAUAAUCUUUGUUUUGUGUACGACAUCAAUUUUUUUUUUACAGUGAAUAUUUGGGGGUGGAGCGAAAUGUUUGAAAACCCCUGCCCUAAAAAAGCUUAGUGACAGAGCUUAGGGAAACAUUUCAAGCCUUAUAAUUAACUUAACUCCAUGCGAUACUAACUUUACAGCGGAUUUGUGUAGGUCCAACUGUUUGUCCUUUGACUACAAAACGCGUUUUUGCGCCCGUAUUGUGUCAGACAUAAGUGUUGAUGUGUUUAUUGGUAGGAACUGCAGAGGAAUGACAGAGUGAGCUGCCACAGAGGAAUCUGCAGAGGUCAAAGUCUGUCUGCGAUCCAUGGGCUGUUUCUGCUGACUCCUGCUUUUCAAUGGUGCUACUUACAGACUCCUCAGACGGCAGAAAACACCGCUGAAAGGGAGGGGGAGAGGCGCCUUUCAUUAACUCUCUAUUCAUAUUGAAUUUAUUAAUCUCAUGCUGUUUCUGCAGCUUAACUAAAAGAAGCCGCGAUACUGCCGCUUUUCAUCCAUCUGCUCGUGGAGAGAAGGGAAGGGAGCGGGUACGAGAGGGAGAGAGGCGACAUGAUUUCUAACAGCGCUGAAACGGCAAUAGACUGCAGAGAGAGGGAAAGUGUGUCAGAUUAUUUAGCGGCAGGGAUGUUGGGUUGUAGUUGUGUGUCGCUGGGAGAGGCAGCAGCCCUGCAGAACACCCCUCCCCACGUCAGGUGCACAACAAAAGCAUCUGUCAUGUCUGCAUUUGUGUACAGGGGAAUGUUCCUGCUAAUCUCCUGUGUGUUCAACAGUGUUUUCCAGUCUUGCAGCCCUGGCCUCUACUGUAUACCACAGCAGUACCACAAAAGCAAUCCUGGCUAAGUGAUAGAUCCAGACGGAAUCUGGAAAAAAAAAAAAAAGUUUUUUGAUCUGUGGAAUUCUGCAGAACAACGUGUCAAAGAUUGCUGAUACACUGCCCUCUAAUUUCUGACUGUAUGCAUACGAGUCAAUGAAAUUAUGCUCAUCUUGUGUCCCUUCCGUUCAAUACUUGUUUCGUCAUCAGAUCAGAUUUGGAGAAAUUUAGCAUGACUUGCUGACCAAUGGAUCCCCUGGAGUGAAUGGGUGCCGUCAGAAUGAGAGUCCAAACGACUGAUAAAUACAUCAGAACAAUCUAAGAGUAACCCACACAGCUCCGCUCCAUCAUCUUGUGAAGCAAAAGGCUUUUGGUGUUCAAAUUCUGCAGAAUUCUGAUAAUAGACAGACCUCCUAACAACUGGCUAAAAACUCCCAGUGUCAAGCAACAAAAGAGAAGGCUUUCCCAGAGUUCAGCUGAAAAGGUAUUGACUGACACAAUCUUACACGGUUCAGGGGAGGUUUAUGGUCGGAGGCAGCUUCCGUCUGUGGUCAGCAGGUCCUCUCUGCAAACAAAAACAGCACUGGGCAUUUUCAGAGAUGAGAGGGGCAGAGAUGCUUGUUCAAUCCUUCAGUGUUUCUAAACAAGGACAUCCAGCGGAGAACUCAGCCAGGGCCACAAUUACCCCCUAAAUGACCCAUUCAGUGGUUUGGAGCUCUUACCAAAAUAACCGUGAACCCUUACUGUGUACUCUGGUUGAGCUUGAAGAGCUAACAGGGUAUUAGACUGAUUGUAGUGCUGGGAAGAGCAGAGAGGUCCUCAAAGACCCUUGUUCAGGGUGUCUCCGGUGACUGAUCCACACCUGCAGUGAUGGGAAAGAGAGCAGCUGAGAUCUGGAAGCAGGAACCUUCAUCAAAAAUAAUGAUAACUCACUAUGAUGAAGCGUUUGACCAAAUGAUGGAAGUUAAUAAAAUUAUUAUCAUGACAUUUAAUUUAAAGGUAAACUUAUUAUUCACAAAAUGAAAGAAGUCUCCUUUUAUUACCAAAGCUGCACUUAUAUAAUCAAAACAUAACGUAAAAUAUCGUAAAAUUAUAUUGUUUGCUGAUUUGAUGCUCAGGAAACAUUUACUAUCACUCAAGUGUUGAAAACUGAUUUUGCAGCUUAAUAUUUUUUUGGAAACGGCGAUGCAUUCAAAAGUUUGGAGCAAGAUUUAAAUAUAUAUGUCUGUAAGUGUGCAUUAGAUAAAAGCAACAGUAAAGAUAUUUAUAUUGUUCAAAAAAUGAGUAUUCACAAUCUUGCUUCGUGUAAUUUGAAGUUGAUAUCUAGCGUGUUUGUGUGAUAGUAAAUGCAUAUAUUUUUAUGUAUGCACUGAAAGAAGCAGUCAGACUGCUCCUGUAUUUACACACGCAAUGCCCUUUUUGAACUUCUGAAUCCCUCCUUGACUCCACUUUUGCUGAAAGGAGCAGGAAGGAUAUCACCACUUAGCCUGUGUAAACAGCAGGUCUGCUGUUGAACUGUGGCCCUGCAACUCCUAUUGACACACAUUCCACUGACCACUGAUGAGUCCCGGGUCUGCUAGCGCGUGUCUUAUGUGCCCCGCGUGACAACGUGUGAAAGUGUGUUUGUGUGUGUGUGUGUGUGCGUGCGUGUGGGUAUCAGACAAACAGCGAAGGAGGUGGCGAAUCAGCUUUGCAGAAAAGACAGUCUAAAUGCACUGGCAUGCUUAUUGAUAAAGAUUUGCGUAAAAAUAAUUGACAUGAAAUAGUAAUAAAAUAUCGUUAAAAAUUACGAUAAAAAUGAACUUCAACAUUAUAAAUAUAUGCAAAAUAAUAAAUGAAUAAUCAACUUUUUUUUAAUAAUUAGGUAUGUUGAAAAAAAGUUAUGUAAUGGACAAACAAUGGGAAUUUGCCAUCUAUUCUAUGUGAGACAUGACCUUGUAAAUAAACGCAGCCA